AAAGUAACAGCGAGUUUCUGCUUUCCUGUAUGGAAGCUGAUUCCUAAAAGAAAGGGGGCAUGUCCGGCAUCCAGGGGACUGCCGUGACCCCCAGAAUGUCAUGAAGACGGCCUUAAAUUUCACAUGGGAACAAAUGGAAGAACCAGCCCACCGAGCAGUUUUCGGGCAACGUGGGACACACACACGGCAGGCUCUGUGACGACAGGGGGAAGUGUAGACGGGCGGUGGGUGCCACCGUGGCCUAAUUACACUAUCCUGCUCAGGCCCAAGGCCCCGAGGCACAUGCUCUUAGAGAUCAGCGGACCUGCACGGAGAAUUGCCACUCUCCUGGCCUCCUACACUCGAGGGCCUGACACGCCCCAGGUCACAGACGGGGUACGCUCACCAUUUAUUCCUAGCAGGUGGCAGAAGAUAUGACCCCUGCCAGGUCAUUGAUACUCAGUCGCUAAGCGAUUAGAAGGUCGCAGAGGUUUGCGGGAAGAAGAGAGGAGGACUACAGGAUUCUAGGUGGGGAGGCCUGGAGGUGGGGCUCGGAAAAAUGUGAAAAAAAAAAGAUGAAAGAUAGCAAGCUUGCUUUGAGGCUAUGCAAGGAAGGCAGGGGAACUGGGGGCGAAGGAAGUGCCCCCCUCCCCCCCCCCCGCCGGGAACGGGGAGGGCAGUGGGGGAGGGGUGGCCCCGGGCAGGGACC